CUAACUAUGAAAAACAUUGAUUUAGAGAAAUUAAUACUAUGUAUUUUCCUUCGAUAUUGAAGAUCAUAGUGGGACCAUGGAUCUGUUUGGAUAUAUAGAUGAUGGUUCCUCAGAGAGUGAUGAGACUGAUCCUGGACAGCCUAUUGUCUUUUGAUCCUCAGUAUUAUGAAGAUGAAGUUGAAGAUGAGAAAGUGCUUGAUAAGGAAGAUAGAACCAGGUUAAAAUUAAAGAAUGUCCCUGCAUUUAAGCAAUGGAGUAUUUGAUGUCUACAAAGCCCCACUGCAGGGAAAUCACAGUUGUCUGUUUAUAAGAGAAAAUACUGGUCUACAGGGACAAGCUGUCUUUAAAUCCAAACUCACCUUCGGACCCCACUCUACAGAUGGUGCCACACAUAGAAAGAUGGCUCUGCCACUUGCUGACAGGUGUUCAAAGACGCAUAAGAUUGGAAUCUUACCAAUGGGCUGUCAUGAUCCUGAAUGCCAGUGUACAGGAGUGAUUGAGGAGUCUCAGACAGUCCACCAGUGGGAGAAGCAGAACCAGCAGCAGCCAAGUGCCCCUUACCUGGACCUUGACAGUGAUGAUGACGAGAACAGAGGGGUUUACUGUGUACCCAAGAGUCACCAGCUCCUGGAAAUGAAGAGCCCACAGACCAGGAAGGGCAUCUUCCAAGAAAGAGAAAAGCAGGGGGUGAGGAAGAUGACUCAAGUAUAAAAGGAUGUUCUCCUUGCCCUGCCCGGUUGGGUUCAGGGCCCUUCUGUGCUCUGUGGUACCUCAGCAUGGCACUGACAUUCCACUUACCAUAUGUGAUUGUGAUGUGAGAAGAUCAGGGAGUCUCGGAGGACUCACUGGGUGCUGAGUGCUUUGCCAAGAGCUAUGUGGGCCUCACCAGUUCUAAUCCCCGGAACCACCUAAAGGGCAGGUGUAGCUGACUGAUAGAAGAUGAAUGCUUUACUGAAGAAAUAAUCUCUAGAUUUUUAGCAGGAUUGGCUCCUAUCAGGUGCAGAAGGUAAACCCUAAACUUGGCCCGUUUGAAUGAUCAUCCUUCAAUACUACUCAAAAUUGACAUGGUACUGUGAUAAAGGAGCAAAGCUGAACUGGACUGAACCUCCAGAGAAUGGAAGUGGCUAUGAACUCCACGGAAACCAUGAUCCUCAAUCUGCUGGGAGGUGAUGAUGGUUCCUGAUUUAAAGGGGAAAAGUGAGGCAGCCAUGAGAAUACACAAAGCCAAAAAUCAUCAGCUGCCCUGGUUCGGGGCCCCUGCUGUGUAAACUGAUACCCAAAUUUAAGGAUAUUGGUAUUUUCCUCAAGCAUCUUGGCCAUUUCCAAUUCUACAGCUGUCCCCAACUGCUGCCUCUGGAAUAGUAAGAAAUAAAGAAUAGUAUUAAUAAACUAUAUUAAAAUACUUUUUAAGGAAAAUCAAAACUAAGACAUUCAGGAACAUGCUGAGUCUACUAGCUUUUUAAAAUUUUCUCUAUUCUUCAGAACAUAGAUAUAAGAAACAAAUUCUAAACAUUCAGCAUGUGAUUAUACAGACAUCAAAAAAGCAUGGAUUAUCACAGGAGAUACUGCAUUAUAUCCACUUGGAUGUAUAUAUAAUAACAAAGAGGGACAAUAAAAAGUGCUGGCAAGGAUGCGAAGAAAUUGGAACCCUCAUACAUUGCUGGUAAUAUAAAAUGGUACAGCCACUUUAAAACAGUUUGAUGGCUCCCCCAAGAGUUAAACAUCAAGUUACCAUAUGACCCAGCAAUUCCUCUUCCAGCUAUACACCCAAGAGAAAUGAAAGCAUAUGUCCCAUAAAGAUUUGUACAUGGAUGCUUGUAACAGCAUUAUUCAUAAUAGCCAAAAAGUGGAAACAACUCAAGUGUCUAUCAACUGAUGAAAGGAUAAACAAAAUGUGGUAUACCAGCCAUUAAAGGAAUCAAGUACUGAUACAUGCUACAACAUGGAUGAAUCUUGAAAACAUUAUGCAAAGUGAAAGAUACCAGAAGCAAAAGAUAUUAUAUGAUUCCAUUUAUACGAACUAUCCAGAACAGGCAAAUCCACAGAGAAAGUGAAUUAGAAAUUGCAAAGGGCUGGGGGAGAUAUAAAUGGAGAGUGAGUUCUAAUGGCUAUGGGAUUUCUUUUUGGGGUGAUGAAAAUGAAUUAAAUAGUGGUGAUGGAUGCACAAUUCCGUGAACAUACUAAAAACCACUGAAUUUGUACACUUAAA